ACGGCUGAAGACAUUAUGACGAAAAUAAGGAAAGAGACCAAGCAGCGGCUCCAGCAGCUCUUCCAGUGCGGCCAGUUCGUCAUCCGAUGGGGUUUUAUUCCCACCGUGCUCUACUUGGGCUUCAAACGGGGAGCAGAUCCAGGAAUGCCAGAUCCCACAGUCUUGAGUUUACUUUGGGGAUGAGGACCAUCAAAAAUGCCCUUCCAAAGACCACCACUACCUGCUCCAUUAGGCACGGUUAAAUGUCUACCAAGUGACACCGCAGCAUCAUCUCUGUAUCAGCACAUGUUAUUUAUACAUUUAUUCUCUCCAAUGGAAAAAUAAAAACAUGACUAAAAUAUAA